GAUGAACGCUGGCGGCGUGCUUAACACAUGCAAGUCGAACGGGAAACCUUUUAUUGAAGCUUCGGCAGAUUUAGCUGGUUUCUAGUGGCGGACGGGUGAGUAACGCGUGGGUAACCUGCCUUAUACAGGGGGUUACAAACAAGAAAUGGUUGCUAAUACCGAAUAAGGGCCAAGGCCGGAAUGGUCGGGUGGGAAAAACUCCGGUGGUAUAAGAUGGACCCGCGUUGGAUUAGCUAGUUGGCAGGGUAACGGCCUACCAAGGCGACGAUCCAUAGCCGGCCUGAGAGGGUGAACGGCCACAUUGGGACUGAGACACGGCCCAGACUCCUACGGGAGGCAGCAGUGGGGAAUAUUGCACAAUGGGGGAAACCCUGAUGCAGCGACGCCGCGUGAAGGAAGAAGUAUCUCGGUAUGUAAACUUCUAUCAGCAGGGAAGAUAGUGACGGUACCUGACUAAGAAGCCCCGGCUAACUACGUG
rnacentral:rRNA from 1 species